GUAAGCAGGCUUCCUUACUCCCUACUAGGCACGGAACCCCAAGCUAGACAACUUACCUAGACUUUCUUACUAACUCACUUGUUUGCAGAAGAGAAAACACAGGAUCUGGAAAUGAAGACACCUGCUCAAGUUCACACAGCCAUUAAGUGGGAGAGUCAGGAUUCUAAGGCAGGAGCCCUUUUUUCUGACAAGAAAACAAUGAAUGAAAAAUGAACUUGGCUUCCCUGUCGAGUGGCUUGGCUAUUGCUAGUACCUUCCUUCUCACCAGCCGCCGAUGACUGGAAUUUGUGUAAUACAUCCAGAUGCAAGGACAUUUGUCAUAACCAUGAGAGUGAGGCAGGAAGCGGCAGUGGACCCGUGAAGGAUGUGAAGGGGUGAAGAGGCACAAUAGAAUUAAAUAAGGUAAGAGAGGGAUUGCACACAGAUAGCACGUCAACUUCUGUACCUGCAGUAAUGUGUUGUGACCUGAAAAGGUUUAUAAAAUUUUCUAAACGGCGGGAAAAAUAGGAUUUGUGCUUUUUAUAAACCUGAAAUUAUAAUGUCUGUGUUGGCUUGCUUGCCAAUUUAUCUUUUUAAAUUGUAUACUCAUUCAUUUCAUCAUUUAACACGUUUUUAUUGGGCACCCCCUAUCUACCUGGUACUAUUCAUUCUAGAACUGUGAGCACUGGGAAUAUAGAUGUGAAUGACAUACUCACAGGAUAAA